rnacentral:rRNA from 1 species
UGGGGAAUCUUAGACAAUGGGGGAAACCCUGAUCUAGCCAUGCCGCGUGAGCGAUGAAGGCCUUAGGGUUGUAAAGCUCUUUCAGCUGGGAAGAUAAUGACGGUACCAGCAGAAGAAGCCCCGGCUAACUCCGUGCCAGCAGCCGCGGUAAUACGGCGGGGGCUAGCGUUGUUCGGAAUUACUGGGCGUAAAGCGCACGUAGGCGGAUUGAAAAGUUGGGGGUGAAAUCCCGGGGCUCAACCUCGGAACUGCCUCCAAAACUAGCAGUCUUGAGUUCGAGAGAGGGGAGUGGAAUUCCGAGUGUAGAGGUGAAAUUCGUAGAUAUUCGGAGGAACACCAGUGGCGAAGGCGGCUCACUGGCUCGAUACUGACGCUGAGGUGCGAAAGCGUGGGGAGCAAACA